rnacentral:rRNA from 1 species
CCUACGGGAGGCUGCAGUGGGGAAUAUUGGACAAUGGGGGGAACCCUGAUCCAGCCAUGCCGCGUGUGUGAAGAAGGCCCUCGGGUUGUAAAGCACUGUCAGUGAGGAAGAACGCCUGGUGGUUAAUACCCAUCAGGAAAGACAUCACUCACAGAAGAAGCACCGGCUAACUCCGUGCCAGCAACCGCGGUAAUACGGAGGGUGCGAGCGUUAAUCGGAAUUACUGGGCGUAAAGCGCGCGUAGGUGGCUUGAUAAGCCGGUUGUGAAAGCCCCGGGCUCAACCUGGGAACGGCAUCCGGAACUGUCAAGCUUGAGUGCAGGAGAGGAAGGUAGAAUUCCCGGUGUAGCGGUGAAAUGCGUAGAGAUCUGGAGGAAUACCAGUGGCGAAGGCGGCCUUCUGGACUGAAACUGACACUGAGGUGCGAAAGCGUGGGUAGCAAACAGGAUUAGAUACCCUAGUAGUC